rnacentral:rRNA from 1 species
UACGGAGGGGGCUAGCGUUGUUCGGAAUUACUGGGCGUAAAGCGCACGUAGGCGGCUUUGUAAGUUAGAGGUGAAAGCCCCGAGCUCAACUUGGGAAUUGCAGUGGAUACUGGCAGGCUGGAGUACGGUAGAGGAAGGUGGAAUUCCCGGUGUAGCAGUGAAAUGCGUAGAUAUCGGGAGGAACACCAGUGGCGAAGGCGGCCUUCUGGACCAGUACUGACGCUCAUGCACGAAAGCGUGGGGAGCAAACAGG